rnacentral:rRNA from 1 species
UGGAGCCGCGGCCGAUCAGGUGUUGGUGAGGUAACGGCUCACCAAGCCUAUAACCGGUACGGGCCAUGAGAGUGGGAGCCCGGAGAUGGGCACUGAGACAAGGGCCCAGGCCCUACGGGGCGCAGCAGUUGCGAAACCUCCACAAUGCACGAAAGUGCGAUGGGGCUAACCCGAGUGCCGUCCGCUGAGGAGGGCUUUUCUCCGCUGUAAGGAGGCGGAGGAAUAAGGAGAGGGCAAGACUGGUGUCAGCCGCCGCGGUAAUACCAGCUCUCCGAGUGGUAGGGACGAUUAUUGGGCCUAAAGCGUUCGUAGCCGGCUUGGCAAGUCUUUCGUUAAAUCCAGUGACCUAAUCGCUGGGCUGCGGGAGAUACUGUCAGGCUUGGGAGCGGAAGAGGUCGACGGUAUUCUCGGGGUAGGGGUGAAAUCCUGUAAUCCCGGGAGGACCACCAGUGGCGAAGGCUGUCGACUAGAACGCGUCCGACGGUGAGGGACGAAAGCUGGGGGAGCGAACCGGAUUAGAUACCCGGGUAGUCCCAGCUGUAAACUAUGCGGGCUAGGUGUCAGUGUGGCUACGAGCCACUCUGGUGCCGCAGGGAAGCUCAUAAGCCCGCCGCCUGGGAAGUACGGU